rnacentral:rRNA from 1 species
AUACGAAGGGUGCAAGCGUUACUCGGAAUUACUGGGCGUAAAGCGUGCGUAAGCGGUUGUUUAAGUCUGUCGUGAAAGCCCUGGGCUCAACCUGGGAAUGGCGAUGGAAACUGGGCGACUAGAGUGUGGCAGAGGGUAGUGGAAUUCCUGGUGUAGCAGUGAAAUGCGUAGAGAUCAGGAGGAACAUCCGUGGCGAAGGCGACUGCCUGGGCCAACACUGACACUGAGGCACGAAAGCGUGGGGAGCAUACAGGAUUAGAUACCCUGGUAGUCCACGCCCUAAACGAUGCGAACUGGAUGUUGGGUGCAAUUUGGCACGCAGUAUCGAAGCUAACGCGUUAAGUUCGCCGCCUGGGGAGUACGGUCGCAAGACUGAAACUCAAAGGAAUUGACGGGG